GUGAACGCUGGCGGUAGGCCUAACACAUGCAAGUCGAACGGCAGCACAGUAAGAGCUUGCUCUUACGGGUGGCGAGUGGCGGACGGGUGAGGAAUACAUCGGAAUCUACUUUUUCGUGGGGGAUAACGUAGGGAAACUUACGCUAAUACCGCAUACGGCCUACGGGUGAAAGCAGGGGAUCUUCGGACCUUGCGCGAUUGAAUGAGCCGAUGUCGGAUUAGCUAGUUGGCGGAGUAAAGGCCCACCAAGGCGACGAUCCGUAGCUGGUCUGAGAGGAUGAUCAGCCACACUGGAACUGAGACACGGUCCAGACUCCUACGGGAGGCAGCAGUGGGGAAUAUUGGACAAUGGGCGCAAGCCUGAUCCAGCCAUACCGCGUGGGUGAAGAAGGCCUUCGGGUUGUAAAGCCCUUUUGUUGGGAAAGAAAAGCAGCAGGUUAAUACCCCGCUGUUCUGACGGUACCCAAAGAAUAAGCACCGGCUAACUUCGUG
rnacentral:rRNA from 1 species